AUUGAACGCUGGCGGCAGGCCUAACACAUGCAAGUCGAACGGUAACAGGAAGCAGCUUGCUGCUUUGCUGACGAGUGGCGGACGGGUGAGUAAUGUCUGGGAAACUGCCUGAUGGAGGGGGAUAACUACUGGAAACGGUAGCUAAUACCGCAUAACGUCGCAAGACCAAAGAGGGGGACCUUCGGGCCUCUUGCCAUCGGAUGUGCCCAGAUGGGAUUAGCUAGUAGGUGGGGUAACGGCUCACCUAGGCGACGAUCCCUAGCUGGUCUGAGAGGAUGACCAGCCACACUGGAACUGAGACACGGUCCAGACUCCUACGGGAGGCAGCAGUGGGGAAUAUUGCACAAUGGGCGCAAGCCUGAUGCAGCCAUGCCGCGUGUAUGAAGAAGGCCUUCGGGUUGUAAAGUACUUUUCAGCGGGGAGGAAGGCGAUAAGGUUAAUAACCUUGUCGAUUGACGUUACCCGCCGAAGAAGCACCCGCUAAC
rnacentral:rRNA from 1 species